CCUACGUGUGGCUGCAGUGGGGAAUAUUGGACAAUGGGCGAAAGCCUGAUCCAGCCAUGCCGCGUGUGUGAAGAAGGCCUUCGGGUUGUAAAGCACUUUCAGUGGGGAAGAAAGCCUUGGGGCUAAUACCCUCGAGGAAGGACAUCACCCACAGAAGAAGCACCGGCUAACUCCGUGCCAGCAGCCGCGGUAAUACGGAGGGUGCGAGCGUUAAUCGGAAUUACUGGGCGUAAAGCGCGCGUAGGCGGUCUGAUAAGCCGGUUGUGAAAGCCCCGGGCUCAACCUGGGAACGGCAUCCGGAACUGUCAGGCUAGAGUGCAGGAGAGGAAGGUAGAAUUCCCGGUGUAGCGGUGAAAUGCGUAGAGAUCGGGAGGAAUACCAGUGGCGAAGGCGGCCUUCUGGACUGACACUGACGCUGAGGUGCGAAAGCGUGGGUAGCAAACAGGAUUAGAUACCCUUGUAGUC
rnacentral:rRNA from 1 species